GUUUUACAUUUGCUUUUAAGCUCAUAAGACAUUCUUUAAAAAUUGUGUGUAUAAAGAAAUUUGGAUUGUAUCGGAGUGCACACCCGAACGGGCUUUUAUUUCCCUUCUCCUCGAGCCGUCAGGCCCCCACCUAGCAAUGAGAACAUUGAAAGGAGGAUUGAGAAGUCAAGACUAGCACAUCCAUCACAUUAAUGAUCCUUCCGCAGGUUCACCUACGGAAA
rnacentral:misc_RNA from 1 species